rnacentral:rRNA from 1 species
UACAGAGGGGGCAAGCGUUGUUCGGAUUCACUGGGCGUAAAGGGUGCGUGAGGUGCGAGGUAAGUCUGAUGUGAAAGCUCGGAGCUCAACUCCGAAAUGGCAUUGGAUACUACUUGGCUUGAGGUUCGGAGGGGAGACUGGAAUUCUUGGUGUAGCAGUGAAAUGCGUAGAUAUCAAGAGGAACACCGGUGGCGAAGGCGAGUCUCUGGACGAAAUCUGACACUGAGGCACGAAAGCUAGGGGAGCAAACAGG